rnacentral:rRNA from 1 species
UACGUAGGGUGCAAGCGUUAAUCGGAAUUACUGGGCGUAAAGGGCUCGUAGGUGGCCAACUAAGUUAGACGUGAAAUCCCUCAGCUUAACUGGGGAACUGCGUCUGAUACUGGAUGGCUUGAGUUUGGGAGAGGGAUGCGGAAUUCCAGGUGUAGCGGUGAAAUGCGUAGAGAUCGGAAAGAACACCAACGGCGAAAGCACUCUGCUGGGCCGACACUGACACUGAGAGACGAAAGCUAGGGGAGCGAAUGGG